AGCGAACGCUGGCGGCAGGCUUAACACAUGCAAGUCGAACGGGCACUUCGGUGUCAGUGGCAGACGGGUGAGUAACACGUGGGAACGUACCUCUUGGUUCGGAACAACACAGGGAAACUUGUGCUAAUACCGGAUAAGCCCUUACGGGGAAAGAUUCAUCGCCGAGAGAUCGGCCCGCGUCUGAUUAGCUAGUCGGUAGGGUAAUGGCCUACCAAGGCGACGAUCAGUAGCUGGUCUGAGAGGAUGAUCAGCCACAUUGGGACUGAGACACGGCCCAAACUCCUACGGGAGGCAGCAGUGGGGAAUAUUGGACAAUGGGGGCAACCCUGAUCCAGCCAUGCCGCGUGAGUGAUGAAGGCCCUAGGGUUGUAAAGCUCUUUUGUGCGGGAAGAUAAUGACGGUACCGCAAGAAUAAGCCCCGGCUAACUUCGUGCCAGCCGCCGCAGUAA
rnacentral:rRNA from 1 species